rnacentral:misc_RNA from 1 species
UGAGAGGAGGUAACAGGGCUGAGUUCU